GCGAUAGUUCCCUUUCUAGAAAGGACUCUCGUUGGGGAGAUAGAGAUUCAGAAGGCACCUGGAGAAAAGGACCUGAAGCAGAUUCUGAGUGGAGAAGAGGCCCGCCAGAGAAUGGAGACGUGGAGAAGGGCGAGAUGAGGACAGGUCUCAUAGAAGAGAUGAAGAGCGGCCCCGGCGUCUGGGGGAUGAUGAAGAUAGAGAGCCCUCUCUUAGACCAGACGAUGAUCGGGUUCCCCGGCGUGGCAUGGAUGAUGACAGAGGCCCUAGACGUGGUCCUGAGGAAGAUAGGUUCUCUCGUCGUGGGGCAGACGAUGACCGGCCUUCCUGGCGUAACACAGAUGAUGACAGGCCUCCCAGACGAAUUGCCGAUGAAGACAGGGGAAACUGGCGUCAUGCGGAUGAUGACAGACCACCUAGACGAGGACUGGAUGAGGACAGAGGAAGCUGGCGAACAGCUGAUGAGGACAGAGGACCAAGACGUGGGAUGGAUGAUGACCGGGGGCCGAGGCGAGGAGGCGCUGAUGAUGAGCGAUCAUCCUGGCGUAAUGCUGAUGAUGACCGGGGUCCCAGGCGAGGGUUGGAUGAUGAUCGGGGUCCCAGGCGAGGCAUGGAUGAUGACCGGGGUCCCAGGCGAGGCAUGGAUGAUGACCGGGGUCCCAGGCGAGGCAUGGAUGAUGACCGGGGUCCCAGGCGAGGGUUGGAUGAUGAUCGAGGACCUUGGAGGAACGCCGAUGAUGACAGAAUUCCCAGGCGUGGUGCAGAGGAUGACAGGGGCCCUUGGAGAAACAUGGAUGAUGAUCGCCUUUCAAGACGUGCUGAUGAUGAUCGGUUUCCCAGACGGGGUGAUGACUCAAGACCUGGUCCUUGGAGACCAUUAGUCAAGCCAGGUGGAUGGAGAGAGAAAGAAAAAGCCAGAGAGGAGAGCUGGGGUCCACCUCGAGAAUCAAGGCCAUCAGAAGAACGUGAAUGGGACAGAG
rnacentral:lncRNA from 1 species